CGAGGAUUCCCCUAGU
rnacentral:rRNA from 8 species